rnacentral:rRNA from 1 species
UAGGCCCUACGGGAGGCAGCAGUGGGGAAUAUCGCACAACGGGGGAAACCCUGAUGCAGCAACGCCGCGUGAGUGAAGAAGUAUUUCGGUAUGUAAAGCUCUAUCAGCAGGGAAGAAGAAAGACGGUACCUGACUAAGAAGCCCCGGCUAACUACGCGCCAGCAGCCGCGGUAAUACGUAGGGGGCAAGCGUUAUCCGGAUUUACUGGGUGUAAAGGGAGCGUAGACGGCUGUGCAAGUCUGAAGUGAAAGCCCGUGGCUCAACCGCGGAACUGCUUUGGACACUGUAUAGCUUGAGUACUGGAG